GGCACCAUACAGGCAGUACCACAAGGGAAUGAUGAAAGACAAAUUUAUAGUACAAAACAGCAACGAUUAACACUUGCACCUUUUUCAUAAUGAAUUAACUAAGAUAAUCUGACUGAAAACUGUAGCCAGAAACCCCAAAACCAGACAAGCUACCUAUGAGCAGUCUCUGGGACUAACUCAUCUACAUGGCAAAAUAGUGAGAAGACUUAUAGAGGUGAAAAGCUACUGAGCCUGGUGAUAGCUGGUUGUCCAGGACAGAAUUUUAGUUCUACCUAAAAUUUACUAAAAGAAAUAAAGUAAUUCUAACAUAGAUUUUAGAGCUAUUCAAAAGAGGUACAGCUCUUUUGAUUCAGGAUACAACCUUGACUAGAGAGUAACAAUAAUUUCAUAGUUGGCCUAAAAGCAGCCAUCAAUUAAGAAAGUGUUAAAGCUCAACAAUCACUCACCUUAAAAAUACCAAAAAUAAUUAACCACCUCCUAGAUAUAAUACUGGACUAAUCUAUAUAAAUAGGAGAAAUAAUGUUAAUAGAAGUAACAAGAACUAUUUCUCCCUGCACAAGCUUAUAUCAGAUCGUAUGCCCACUGAUAGUUCACAAUCCAAUAAUUAAACCCAUAAAUAAAUUCUUUAUUGCAUUUGUUGUUAGCCCAACACAGGUGUGCUUAAGGGAAAGAUUAAAAGAAGUGAAAGGAACUUGGCAAACACCAAACCCCACCUGUUUACCAAAAACAUCACCUCUAGCAUUAUUAGUAUUUGAGGCAUUGCCUGCCCAAUGACAAAUGUUAAACAGCCGCGAUACUCUGACAGCGCAAAGGUAGGAUAAUCAUUUGUUCCUUAAGUGGGGACUUGUAUGAACCGCCACACGAGGGUCUAACUGUCUCUUACUUUUAAUCAGUGAAAUUGACCCCUGAAGAGGAGAGAAUAUACCUAUCGGAUGAGAAGACCCUAUGGAGCUUAAUAAAUUCAACUAUAAUACCACUACCCUACAAGGCUUAACUCAAUAUUGCAAUGAAUUAACCCUUUUGGUUGGGGUGACCUCAGAGAAUAUAAUAACCUCUGAAUGAUAUAAUCUAGACUUGGCCAGUCAAAACCUAUAAACCACUUAUUGGCCCAAUACUUGAUCAGCGGAACAAGUUACCCUAGGAAUAACAGCACAUCCUAUUUUAAUUUUUUUUUUUUAAUCAGUAAUAGGGUUUACGACCUCGAUGUUGGAUCAGGACAUCCCAAUGGUGCAGCCGUUAUUAAAGAUUCAUCUGUUGAACAAUUAAAGUCCUAUGCGAUCUGAGUUCCGACCGGAGUAAUCCAGGUUGGUUUCUAUCUACAGACUAUUUCUCCCAGUACAAAAGGAUAAAAGAAAUGGGGCCAA
rnacentral:rRNA from 1 species